UGCGGCUUCGGGUCGCUGCUAGUMUGAUCGAGUCUGCAUAACUUUGAGCGGAUCGAACGGCCUUGCGCCGGCGACGGAUCUUUCMAAUGUGCAACCUAUCAACUUUCGAUGGCUACGUGAUAUGCCUMCCAUGGUUGUAACGGGUAACGGGGAAUCAGGGUUUGAUUCCGGAGAGGGAGCAUGAGAAACGGCUACCACAUCCAAGGAAGGCAGCAGGCGCGCAAAUUACCCACUCUCCGCACGAGGAGGUAGCGACGAAAAAUAACAAUGCCGGACUCUUUCGAGGCCCCGUAAUUGGAACUG
rnacentral:rRNA from 1 species